UACGUAGGUGGCAAGCGUUGUUCGGAAUUAUUGGGCGUAAAGGGCGCGUAGGCGGUUCUGUAAGUCGGUUGUGAAAGCCCGGGGCUCAACCCCGGAGGGUCGACUGAUACUGCAGGACUAGAGUACGGAAGAGGUAGCUGGAAUUCCCGGUGUAGCGGUGAAAUGCGCAGAUAUCAGGAGGAACACCGAUGGCGAAGGCAGGUCUCUGGGCAUUAACUGACGCUGAGGAGCGAAAGCAUGGGGAGCGAACAGG
rnacentral:rRNA from 1 species